rnacentral:misc_RNA from 1 species
UCAAACUUGGUCAUUUAGAGGAAGUAAAAGUCGUAACAAGGUCUCCGUUGGUGAACCAGCGGAGGGAUCAUUAAAGAGUUUACAAAACUCCCAAACCCCUGUGAACAUACCAUAUGUUGCCUCGGCAGGUCGUGUCUACCACGUAGUGGUGGAUGCGGUACAGCCUGCCGCUGGCCCUUGAAACUCUUGUUAUACAUUGUAUUUCUGAAGUUAUAAACGAAAUAUAUUAAAACUUUCAACAACGGAUCUCUUGGUUCUGGCAUCGAUGAAGAACGCAGC